rnacentral:lncRNA from 1 species
GUCUCGUACUCCCACCUGUCGGAAGGUAGGUCGUCUAAAUCAGUUGGAAGAGGAGACUCUGCUGGGGUGUAGAGAACACCUCCGCCGAGGUGGAGCCCAGAGGUUCGCCUGCUCACUGUGUCGACCGUGCUACAACUAUCGCAGGCGACGUGACAACAGAGACAUCCCGAGUCCUCUCUGCUUUCUCGACGACCUUCCUUGCCGACAGAAACAAGCACAGACGAUGCUGCCGAUGGACGAACUGAACCGGAUCCGGCGUAGGGAUUGCCAGCAGCUUCAGCGUUCUUGCCUCGUCCUCCACUCGUGUGUCGAGACGGUCGAUUAUCCAAAGUCGAUGGACUGCAAGGAGAGGAUGUGAAAGUACUCAAGCGACACCAGCUUUCUGUCAGUGAGUCCGUACACAUCCCCGAAUUUUUUGUUAGGUGUUUGGCGCUUUCAGAGCGACCGCCUUUGUACGAAAACCUUGUGGAGCAGUCGCCGGCCAUUGCUGUGCUCUCUGCACCGAUCAAAUGUCUCUCAUUUGGGGGUGAAGCGAGAGGAAACAAGAUCACUUCUGCAGUGGCAGCAUGCUGCGGAUGUGGCCUGGACACGCCGUUGUCUCCCAAUUUUCCCGUCGAUUCGCUGCUUUUUUUGAGAGGUGUCAAGCCUAGUUCCUCCGUCUGGGAACGACGAUACUCCAAACACAGUGCCUUUGGACAUGCGUGUUCCUCGGGAAAAAUAGAUUCUUGCAGAAGCUCAUUUUUCUGCGCAAAAUGUCUCGUGCGGCUCUCUGGUACGGCGACAACCCGCUUGUCCCUUCUGAUUGGAAGGGGACUCCUCUGAUUCGUCGGAAGCACAGUAGGCACAUAAGAAGCUGGUGACUCCUGAUGUCCUCGAACCGCCUCGUCAAGAGAAAAAUCGGAGUUCGGAUGCGUUUUAUCGGCGUCGUUCCCUUGUAGCUCUGGCGUAAUACGACACGAGAUUUGUUGUAUCGGAAUGGCGCUUCUCGUAUCGAUAUGAGAAAUGUAGGUCGAGAACGAAUCUUCGUCCUCGUCAUCUAAACUGAAGGGAAUUUCUGGACUUAGUGGAGGCCGAUAUUCGUCGCGCGGAAACAUCCAGGAGUGCUCGAGGAUCUGUCUAUCUAGCGACUCUGUUCUCUCGACCGUUGACUUCUCGUUCGCCGCGACGUUGCCGUGUGAAUUUCCCCCGGCGGAGUCGCGGUGUAGGGAGAAAUGUUCUGUGCCCACUAAAGAAGAAGCAUCUGUUGCUUUCGCCGUGGACGGGUCGUGGUGCUGUGCGUUUUCGACUGCGCGGGGUACCCGCUUUUGCACACGGGUCAAACGCGCAGGGCUUUUGCUUGCUUUUCCCGCAUUACAAACAGCGACUGGCUGCCUUCCGCGGUCCCUUCUCGGAGACGUGACUCUUGCCGAAACAGGUUUCUGCAC